GGCCGCGCCAGCCGCCGAGCCGGGAAGAUGCUGCUGUCCCUAGUGCUCCACACGUACUCGAUGCGCUACGUCGUGCUCCUGGGCACGGCGCCCACCUACAUGCUGGCCUGGGGGGUCUGGCGGCUGCUCUCUGCCUUCCUGCCCGCUCCCUUCUACCAGGCGGUGGACGACCGGCUCUACUGCAUCUACCAGCGCAUGGUGCUCUUCUUCUUCGAGAACUACACCGGGGUGCAGAUAUUGCUAUAUGGAGAUUUGCCAGAAAAUAAAGAAAAUAUAAUAUAUUUAGCAAAUCAUCAAAGCACAGUUGACUGGAUUGUUGCUGACGUCCUAGCCAUUAGGCAGAAUGCUCUUGGACAUGUGCGCUAUGUGCUGAAAGAUCGCCUAAAAUGGCUUCCACUGUACGGGUGUUAUUUUCCUCAGCAUGGAGGAAUCUAUGUAAAGCGAAGUGCCAAAUUUAAUGAAAAAGAAAUGAGAAACAAGCUGCAGAGCUACGUGAACACAGGAACUCCGAUGUAUCUUGCGAUUUUCCCAGAAGGUACAAGAUAUAAUCCACGACAAACAAAACUCCUUUCAGCUGGUCAGGCAUUUGCUGCUCAAAAAGGCUUUGCAGUAUUAAAACAUGUGCUGACACCAAGAAUAAAGGCAACUUAUGUUGCUUUUGAUUCUAUGAAGAAUUACUUAGAUGCAAUUUAUGAUGUUACAGUGGUGUACGAAGGGAAAGAUGACAGAGGGCAGCGCAAAGAGUCCUGUCCAUGACUGAAUUUCUCUGCAAAGAAUGUCCAAAAAUUCAUAAUCAUAUUGAUCAUAUAGACAAAAAAGAUGUCCCAGAAAACCAAGAAUAUAUGAGAAGAUGGCUUCAUGAACGUUUUGAAAUAAAAGAUAAGUUGUUUAUAGAAUUCUAUGAUUCACCAGAUCCAGAAAGAAGAAACAAAUUUCCUGGGAAAAGUGUUAAUUCCAAAUUAAGUAUCAAGAAGACUUUACCA